GACGAACGCUGGCGGUGUGCUUAACACAUACAAGUCGAACGGAAAGGCCCUGCUUUUGUGGGGUGCUCGAGUGGCGAACGGGUGAGUAACACGUGAGUAACCUGCCCUUGACUUUGGGAUAACUUCAGGAAACUGGGGCUAAUACCGGAUAGGAGCUCCUGCUGCAUGGUGGGGGUUGGAAAGUUUCGGCGGUUGGGGAUGGACUCGCGGCUUAUCAGCUUGUUGGUGGGGUAGUGGCUUACCAAGGCUUUGACGGGUAGCCGGCCUGAGAGGGUGACCGGCCACAUUGGGACUGAGAUACGGCCCAGACUCCUACGGGAGGCAGCAGUGGGGAAUAUUGCACAAUGGGCGGAAGCCUGAUGCAGCAACGCCGCGUGCGGGAUGACGGCCUUCGGGUUGUAAACCGCUUUCGCCUGUGACGAAGCGUGAGUGACGGUAAUGGGUAAAGAAGCACCGGCUAACUACGUG
rnacentral:rRNA from 1 species